GACGGGGGGGGCAAGUGUUCUUCGGAAUGACUGGGCGUAAAGAGCUCGUAGGCGGUCUGUCACGUCGGCUGUGAAAACCCGAGGCUCAACCUCGGGCCUGCAGUCGAUACGGGCAGACUAGAGUUCGGUAGGGGAGACUGGAAUUCCUGGUGUAGCGGUGAAAUGCGCAGAUAUCAGGAGGAACACCGGUGACGAAGGCGGGUCUCUGGGCCGAAACUGACGCUGAGGAGCGAAAGCGUGGGGAGCGAACAGG
rnacentral:rRNA from 1 species